rnacentral:rRNA from 1 species
GAACGCUGGCGGCGUGCUUAACACAUGCAAGUCGUACGAGAACGCUCUAGCUUGCUAGAGCAAGUAAAGUGGCGCACGGGUGAGUAACGCGUGGGUAAUCUACCUUCGAAUUGGGGAUAACGUUGCGAAAGCGACGCUAAUACCGAAUAACAUCCAAAUUUCUUCGGAAUAUUGGAUCAAGGGUGGCCUCUACAUGUAAGCUACUGUUUGAAGAUGAGCCCGCGUACCAUUAGCUUGUUGGUGGGGUAAUGGCCUACCAAGGCAACGAUGGUUAGCUGGUCUGAGAGGAUGAUCAGCCACACUGGAACUGACACACGGUCCAGACUCCUACGGGAGGCAGCAGUGAGGAAUUUUGCGCAAUGGGCGAAAGCCUGACGCAGCAACGCCGCGUGAGUGAUGAAGGCUUUCGGGUCGUAAAGCUCUGUCAAGUGGGAAGAACCUAUAUAAUGAUAAUACCAUUAUGUACUGACGGUACCACUGAAGGAAGCACCGGCUAACUCCGUGCCA